rnacentral:rRNA from 1 species
AGAGUUUGAUCAUGGCUCAGAUUGAACGCUGGCGGCAGGCCUAACACAUGCAAGUCGAACGGUAACAGGAAGCAGCUUGCUGCUUUGCUGACGAGUGGCGGACGGGUGAGUAAUGUCUGGGAAACUGCCUGAUGGAGGGGGAUAACUACUGGAAACGGUAGCUAAUACCGCAUAACGUCGCAAGACCAAAGAGGGGGACCUUAGGGCCUCUUGCCAUCGGAUGUGCCCAGAUGGGAUUAGCUUGUUGGUGGGGUAACGGCUCACCAAGGCGACGAUCCCUAGCUGGUCUGAGAGGAUGACCAGCCACACUGGAACUGAGACACGGUCCAGACUCCUACGGGAGGCAGCAGUGGGGAAUAUUGCACAAUGGGCGCAAGCCUGAUGCAGCCAUGCCGCGUGUAUGAAGAAGGCCUUCGGGUUGUAAAGUACUUUCAGCGGGGAGGAAGGGAGUAAAGUUAAUACCUUUGCUCAUUGACGUUACCCGCAGAAGAAGCACCGGCUAACUCCGUGCCAGCAGCCGCGGUAAUACGGAGGGUGCAAGCGUUAAUCGGAAUUACUGGGCGUAAAGCGCACGCAGGCGGUUUGUUAAGUCAGAUGUGAAAUCCCCGGGCUCAACCUGGGAACUGCAUCUGAUACUGGCAAGCUUGAGUCUCGUAGAGGGGGGUAGAAUUCCAGGUGUAGCGGUGAAAUGCGUAGAGAUCUGGAGGAAUACCGGUGGCGAAGGCGGCCCCCUGGACGAAGACUGACGCUCAGGUGCGAAAGCGUGGGGAGCAAACAGGAUUAGAUACCCUGGUAGUCCACGCCGUAAACGAUGUCGACUUGGAGGUUGUGCCCUUGAGGCGUGGCUUCCGGAGCUAACGCGUUAAGUCGACCGCCUGGGGAGUACGGCCGCAAGGUUAAAACUCAAAUGAAUUGACGGGGGCCCGCACAAGCGGUGGAGCAUGUGGUUUAAUUCGAUGCAACGCGAAGAACCUUACCUGGUCUUGACAUCCACGGAAGUUUUCAGAGAUGAGAAUGUGCCUUCGGGAACCGUGAGACAGGUGCUGCAUGGCUGUCGUCAGCUCGUGUUGUGAAAUGUUGGGUUAAGUCCCGCAACGAGCGCAACCCUUAUCCUUUGUUGCCAGCGGUCCGGCCGGGAACUCAAAGGAGACUGCCAGUGAUAAACUGGAGGAAGGUGGGGAUGACGUCAAGUCAUCAUGGCCCUUACGACCAGGGCUACACACGUGCUACAAUGGCGCAUACAAAGAGAAGCGACCUCGCGAGAGCAAGCGGACCUCAUAAAGUGCGUCGUAGUCCGGAUUGGAGUCUGCAACUCGACUCCAUGAAGUCGGAAUCGCUAGUAAUCGUGGAUCAGAAUGCCACGGUGAAUACGUUCCCGGGCCUUGUACACACCGCCCGUCACACCAUGGGAGUGGGUUGCAAAAGAAGUAGGUAGCUUAACCUUCGGGAGGGCGCUUACCACUUUGUGAUUCAUGACUGGGGUGAAGUCGUAACAAGGUAACCGUAGGGGAACCUGCGGUUGGAUCACCU